rnacentral:misc_RNA from 1 species
UCCGGCUUAUCACCGGCAGUCGCCUUAGAGUGCCCAACUGAAUGUGGCAACUAAUGGCAAGGGUUGCGCUCGUUGCGGGACUUAACCCAACAUCUCACGACACGAGCUGACGACAGCCAUGCAGCACCUGUGUUGCGGUUCCCUUUCGGGCACCAAGACAUCUCUGUCCCGUUCCGCACAUGUCAAGGGUAGGUAAGGUUUUUCGCGUUGCAUCGAAUUAAUCCACAUAAUCCACCGCUUGUGCGGGUCCCCGUCAAUUCCUUUGGGUUUCAGUCUUGCGACCGUACUCCCCAGGCGGCGAACUUAACGCGUUAGCUUCGACACUGAGAGCCUAGUUGCUCCCAACGUCCAGUUCGCAUCGUUUAGGGCGUGGACUAC